rnacentral:rRNA from 1 species
GAACUUAAGCAUAUCAAUAAGCGGAGGAAAAGAAACCAACAGGGAUUGCCUCAGUAACGGCGAGUGAAGCGGCAAGAGCUCAAAUUUGAAAGCUGGCUCCUUCGGGGUCCGCAUUGUAAUUUGCAGAGGAUGCUUCGGGAGUGGCCCCCAUCUAAGUGCCCUGGAACGGGCCGUCAUAGAGGGUGAGAAUCCCGUCUGGGAUGGGGUGUCCACGCCCGUGUGAAGCUCCUUCGACGAGUCGAGUUGUUUGGGAAUGCAGCUCUAAAUGGGUGGUAAAUUUCAUCUAAAGCUAAAUACUGGCCGGAGACCGAUAGCGCACAAGUAGAGUGAUCGAAAGAUGAAAAGCACUUUGAAAAGAGAGUUAAACAGCACGUGAAAUUGUUGAAAGGGAAGCGCUUGCGACCAGACUCGCCCACGGGGUUCAGCCGGCAUUCGUGCCGGUGUACUUCCCCGCGGGCGGGCCAGCGUCGGUUUGGGCGGCCGGUCAAAGGCCCUCGGAAUGUAACGCCCCCCGGGGCGUCUUAUAGCCGAGGGUGCCAUGCGGCCAGCCCGGACCGAGGAACGCGCUUCGGCUCGGACGCUGGCAUAAUGGUCGUAAGCGACCCGUCUUGAA